rnacentral:snoRNA from 1 species
AUGCCAAGGUUGGGACACUUCAUAAAAUAGUCCUUGAAUCUUUUUCAUGAUUCUGGAUAGCUCUUGAAAUCUAUUUCCUUGAAAGUAUAUAUUUCAUUCUUGAUCU